rnacentral:rRNA from 1 species
CGCGGCCUAUCAGCUUGUUGGUGAGGUAAUGGCUCACCAAGGCGACGACGGGUAGCCGGCCUGAGAGGGUGACCGGCCACACUGGGACUGAGACACGGCCCAGACUCCUACGGGAGGCAGCAGUGGGGAAUAUUGGACAAUGGGCGAAAGCCUGAUCCAGCAACGCCGCGUGAGGGAUGACGGCCUUCGGGUUGUAAACCUCUUUCAGCAGGGACGAAGCGAAAGUGACGGUACCUGCAGAAGAAGGACCGGCCAACUACGUGCCAGCAGCCGCGGUAAUACGUAGGGUCCGAGCGUUGUCCGGAAUUAUUGGGCGUAAAGGGCUCGUAGGCGGUUUGUCGCGUCGGGAGUGAAAACUCAGGGCUCAACCCUGAGCGUGCUUUCGAUACGGGCAAACUAGAGGUAUUCAGGGGAGAAUGGAAUUCCUGGUGUAGCGGUGGAAUGCGCAGAUAUCAGGAGGAACACCGGUGGCGAAGGCGGUUCUCUGGGAAUUACCUGACGCUGAGGAGCGAAAGCAUGGGGAGCGAACAAGAUUAGAUACCCUGGUAGUCCAUGCCGUAAACGUUGGGCGCUAGGUGUGGGGACCUUCCACGGUUUCCGUGCCGCAGCUAACGCAUUAAGCGCCCCGCCUGGGGAGUACGG